GACGAACGCUGGCGGCGUGCUUAACACAUGCAAGUCGAACGAAAAUGCCAAGCUUGCUUGGUUGAUUAGUGGCGAACGGGUGAGUAACACGUGAGUAACCUGCCCCUUACUUUCCUGGAUAACUGCUCGAAAGGGUAGCUAAUACGGGAUAUUCUGGCCUUCCUGCAUGGGUUGGUUUGGAAAGGUUGUUUUCUGGUAAGGGAUGGGCUCGCGGCCUAUCAGCUUGUUGGUGGGGUGAUGGCCUACCAAGGCUUUGACGGGUAGCCGGCCUGAGAGGGUGGACGGUCACACUGGGACUGAGAUACGGCCCAGACUCCUACGGGAGGCAGCAGUGGGGAAUAUUGCACAAUGGGCGCAAGCCUGAUGCAGCGACGCCGCGUGAGGGAUGAAGGCCUUCGGGUUGUAAACCUCUUUCGUCAGGGAACAAGGCACUACGUUUUGGUGGUGUUGAGGGUACCUGGAUAAGAAGCGCCGGCUAACUACGUGCCAGCAGCCGCGGUAAUACGUAGGGCGCAAGCGUUGUCCGGAAUUAUUGGGCGUAAAGAGCUCGUAGGCGGCUGGUCGCGUCUGUCGUGAAAACUUCCGGCUCAACCGGGGGCUUGCGGUGGGUACGGGCCGGCUAGAGUGCGGUAGGGGUAACUGGAACUCCUGGUGUAGCGGUGGAAUGCGCAGAUAUCACGAAGAACACCGAUGGCGAAUGCAGGUUACUGGGCCGUUACUGACGCUGAGGAGCGAAAGCGUGGGGAGCGAACAGGAUUAGAUACCCUGGUAGUCCAAGGGCGAAUUCCACAGUGGAUAUCAAGCUUAUCGAUACCGUCGACCUCGAGGGGGGGCCCGGUACCCAGCUUUUGUUCCCUUUAUGAGGGGGUUAAAUUAUUUGGUGCUGUGGUGGUGCGUGAUGUGCAUCCUGCCUGCGCAUGCUCUUUGUGCUGGUGCCUGUUGUCCUCAUUGUUUGUGAGCAUGUGUGUGUUUGUGGGUGUAUGUGUUUGUGGUUUGUUGUUGUGUGUGUGUCUGGUGCUGUUUAGCAUGUGUGCUGUCUAGCUG
rnacentral:rRNA from 1 species